rnacentral:rRNA from 1 species
GAUGAACGCUGGCGGCGUGCCUAAUACAUGCAAGUCGAGCGAACAGACGAGGAGCUUGCUCCUUUGACGUUAGCGGCGGACGAGUGAGUAACACGUGGAUAACCUACCUAUAAGACUGGGAUAACUUCGGGAAACCGGAGCUAAUACCGGAUAACAUGUUGAACCGCAUGGUUCAACAGUGAAAGACGGUCUUGCUGUCACUUAUAGAUGGAUCCGCGCCGCAUUAGCUAGUCGGUAAGGUAACGGCUUACCAAGGCAACGAUGCGUAGCCGACCUGAGAGGGUGAUCGGCCACACUGGAACUGAGACACGGUCCAGACUCCUACGGGAGGCAGCAGUAGGGAAUCUUCCGCAAUGGGCGAAAGCCUGACGGAGCAACGCCGCGUGAGUGAAGAAGGUCUUCGGAUCGUAAAACUCUGUUAUUAGGGAAGAACAAAUGUGUAAGUAACUAUUGCACGUCUUGACGGUACCUAAUCAGAAAGCCACGGCUAACUACGUGCCAGCAGCCGCGGUAAUACGUAGGUGGCAAGCGUUAUCCGGAAUUAUUGGGCGUAAAGCGCGCGUAGGCGGUUUUUUAAGUCUGAUGUGAAAGCCCACGGGCUCAACCGUGGAGGGUCAUUGGAAACUGGAAAACUUGAGUGCAGAAGAGGAAAGUGGAAUUCCAUGUGUAGCGGUGAAAUGCGCAGAGAUAUGGAGGAACACCAGUGGCGAAGGCGACUUUCUGGUCUGUAACUGACGCUGAUGUGCGAAAGCGUGGGGAUCAAACAGGAUUAGAUACCCUGGUAGUCCACGCCGUAAACGAUGAGUGCUAAGUGUUAGGGGGUUUCCGCCCCUUAGUGCUGCAGCUAACGCAUUAAGCACUCCGCCUGGGGAGUACGACCGCAAGGUUGAAACUCAAAGGAAUUGACGGGGACCCGCACAAGCGGUGGAGCAUGUGGUUUAAUUCGAAGCAACGCGAAGAACCUUACCAAAUCUUGACAUCCUCUGACCCCUCUAGAGAUAGAGUUUUCCCCUUCGGGGGACAGAGUGACAGGUGGUGCAUGGUUGUCGUCAGCUCGUGUCGUGAGAUGUUGGGUUAAGUCCCGCAACGAGCGCAACCCUUAAGCUUAGUUGCCAUCAUUAAGUUGGGCACUCUAAGUUGACUGCCGGUGACAAACCGGAGGAAGGUGGGGAUGACGUCAAAUCAUCAUGCCCCUUAUGAUUUGGGCUACACACGUGCUACAAUGGACAAUACAAAGGGUAGCGAAACCGCGAGGUCAAGCAAAUCCCAUAAAGUUGUUCUCAGUUCGGAUUGUAGUCUGCAACUCGACUACAUGAAGCUGGAAUCGCUAGUAAUCGUAGAUCAGCAUGCUACGGUGAAUACGUUCCCGGGUUU